rnacentral:rRNA from 1 species
AGAAUCAACGCUGGCGGCGUGCCUAACACAUGCAAGUCGCACGAGAAAGGGUAGCAAUACCUGAGUAAAGUGGCGCACGGGUGAGUAACACGUGAAUUAUCUACCUCCGAGUGGGGAAUAACUGAGAGAAUCUUAGCUAAUACCGCAUAACACUUACGAGUCAAAGCAGCAAUGCGCUUGGAGAGGAGUUCGCGGCCGAUUAGUUAGUUGGCGGGGUAAUCGGCCCACCAAGACGAUGAUCGGUA